UGGUGGCGAUAGCGAAGAGGUCACACCUGUUCCCAUGCCGAACACAGAAGUUAAGUUCUUCAGCGCCAAUGGUAGUUGGGGGUUCUCCUCCUGCGAGAGUAGGACGUUGCCA
rnacentral:rRNA from 1 species